rnacentral:rRNA from 1 species
AUUGAACGCUGGCGGCAUGCCUUACACAUGCAAGCCGAACGGCAGCACGGGUGCUUGCACCUGGUGGCGAGUGGCGAACGGGUGAGUAAUAUAUCGGAACGUACCUUAUUGUGGGGGAUAACGCAGCGAAAGCUGUGCUAAUACCGCAUAAUCCCUAAGGGGGAAAGCGGGGGACCGUAAGGCCUCGCGCAAUUAGAGCGGCCGAUACCUGAUUAGCUAGGUGGUGAGGUAAAGGCUCACCAAGGCAACGAUCAGUAGCUGGUCUGAGAGGACGAUCAGCCACACUGGGACUGAGACACGGCCCAGACUCCUACGGGAGGCAGCAGUGGGGAAUUUUGGACAAUGGGGGCAACCCUGAUCCAGCAAUGCCGCGUGAGUGAAGAAGGCCUUCGGGUUGUAAAGCUCUUUUGUCAGGGAAGAAACAGCAGCUCUAACACAGUUUGCGAAUGACGGUACCUGAGGAAUAAGCACCGGCUAACUACGUGCCAGCAGCCGCAGUAA